CUCGCUUUGUGGUCUUGACUCCCUGUUUCUGUCCAUCUGUCCUCAUCCCUGUCUGUGUCUAUCCCUGUCUUUCUCCAUGUGCUCUGCCUCUCUCCAUCCCCUGGCAGUCCGAUCCCCCUGCUGGGGGACAAAGGCUGUGACUGCUGUGCUAUUCCUAUAUAUAUGGUCUCCCAGGUUGGCGUCACCUGGGCUGCUCCUUCCUCAGAGUGCUGGGGGACUCUCGAGAGUCAGAGGCAGAGGGGAACUUGUGCAUAGGGGCUGCCCAUGAAGGUGGUGUUCAGGAAGGAAAAUUCUAGAACAAAAAAGCUCCACUCAGAAAUUUGCCAGUGAUCAGCUGUGUUUGAAUUUAUCAGGAAAAGCAUUCCAUCCCAGGCCAGGCAGACAUCACUUUGUCCUUCCUGCCCCCGACCAUGGGGAAGUAAUGGGAACAGAUGCUGAGGGAAUUGAUGACAGCAGAUGGGAGAUGCUCCCCCUUCUCUUCCAGGACCAUUCUUUCUCUACCCAGUCAAGGACGGCUUCCUUCCUGCAGCAGAAGCUCCACGGAUCACCUGGACAGCCUCCUCCCUGCACGCACGUUCCCAGCAGAGCCUGCAGAGGAGGCCCGGGGCUCCCGCAGCCCCUCCUGGUUCUGUCCCACUGCAGCCUCCCUCAGCCAGCAAUUCGUGUAAGCUGUGGGCCUGGGGCAGCCUCUUGCUUGGAAGGCAGGCCCUCUGCUCAUGUACUGCAAGCGGGGAUGACAGUGGUGCAGAAGGCAAGAAGAAAACACAAACAGGUUGGGACCAGCUGCCUGAGGCCUGACAGAGAAAUGCCCUCUUUUCCUGUGUGUGGUUUGUGCUUCUCACCGGCAGAGCAGCCAGCAUUUGAGACUUCAAUCAGGACAUAAGUCUUGGGGAAGAAGCCAGCAAGUCAUCUGACCUGCCACCAGUCCAGCUCACCAGCUGAGGACCAGGUUAGGCCAAGUGCCCAGGGCUGCCACAUAUGCUGGACAUUCUGUGCAAAGAACAAGUCGUUAUUGGAUGGCAUUCCUGUUGGACAUCUUUGGGUGGAAAUGAACGAGGCUGAUCACUUCCAGGAGAGAAGCAAUGAGCACCUAGUGUCCUUGGAUCUUUAUCUGCUGUAUCCUCUUAUAUCUCUUGUAAGACGGCCUUAUCCUCUUUCAUUCAGCCUUCCCAGGACAAGUGGCAGGGGGGGUCUCAAAUCUCUGCUUUGACAUUUGAUGCCGUUCAAGGAGCAAUCUCAUUCAAAGAAAGGGCUGAGAAACGAGUUUGAGUAUUUUCUGGUUAUAAUUUAACAUUAUCUUGAGUAGAAAAUGGCAGGAUUUUGUUGAAAAACCCCUUUUUGACUGAUGUGUGUUCUCUUCUAGUUUUGAACAUUUCAGUCACUGUCUUAUAAAAAUAAUUUUAUUGAUUUGAGGCUUGGCAAAGAGAAAUGAUCUACUUUUCAAAAAUGGCCUUAUAAAGAGUGUAUGACUUCCCCCCUUUCCCAAAGUUCUUUGUGUCUUCUUUUAUGUUUAAAAUCUCCUGGAUGAUAUGCCUUGGUCUUUUCUACUAUUGUGCUGAGUGCUUGGUGGGGCCUUUAAUCUGAGAAAUAGUAUCCCAUAGGAAAAAUGCCUCAAACAUUUUUUUCUAUUACACUUCUUUGAUAACUUUUCCCCCUUCCAUUUACUCUGUUUUGUCUUUCUGGAGCUUGUAGUUUUUGGAUGUUGAAUUCCCUGGACUAAACGUCUAACUUUUCCAAAAAUAUUUUUUCCCAUGACUUUUCUCUCUUGAUUCCUUAAUUAGUUAAAAAAAUUUAAAGCACAUCCAAGUUUAUAUAAAAGUUGCCACUGGGGGUAUCUGGGUGGUGUAGUCAGUUAAGUGCCUGAAAUUGGCUCAGGUCAUGAUCUUGGGGUCCUGGGACCGGGCCCCAAGUCGAGUCCCUGGCUCAGCAGGGAGCCUGCUUCUCCCUCUUCCUCUGCCCCUCCUUCCACUUGUGCCCAUGCUUUCUCUUUCUCUCUCUCUCUCUCAAAUAAAUAAAUAAAAUCUUUUUAAAACA
ensembl:lncRNA